rnacentral:tRNA from 1 species
CGGGGCGUAGCUCAGCCUGGUAGAGCGCUUGUUUCGGGAACAAGAGGUCGCCGGUUCAAAUCCAGUCGCCCCGA